rnacentral:rRNA from 1 species
UACGUAGGGUGCAAGCGUUGUCCGGAAUUAUUGGGCGUAAAGAGCUCGUAGGCGGUUCGUCGCGUCGGCUGUGAAAACCCGGAGCUCAACUCCGGGCCUGCAGUCGAUACGGGCGGACUCGAGUUCGGCAGGGGAGACUGGAAUUCCUGGUGUAGCGGUGAAAUGCGCAGAUAUCAGGAGGAACCCCGGUGGCGAAGGCGGUUCUCUGGGCAUGUUCUGACGCUGAGGAGCGAAAGUGUGGGGAGCGAACAGG